UACGUAGGGGGCAAGCGUUAUCCGGAUUUACUGGGUGUAAAGGGAGCGUAGACGGUGAUGUAAGUCAGAUGUGAAAGCCCGGGGCUCAACUCCGGGACUGCAUUUGAAACUAUGUUGCUAGAGUGCAGGAGAGGUAAGUGGAAUUCCUAGUGUAGCGGUGAAAUGCGUAGAUAUUAGGAGGAACACCAGUGGCGAAGGCGGCUUACUGGACUGUAACUGACGUUGAGGCUCGAAAGCGUGGGGAGCAAACAGG
rnacentral:rRNA from 1 species